CAAAUCAAACUAAAAGAAAGUGUUCUACUUCUCGAACUGGUUGUCUAGCCACACUUGUUGUUAAAAGAGGUACAUUAGAAGGAAAUUGGAUUAUAUGUUCAUUUAAGAAUGAUCAUAACCAUCCCAUGGUUAGCCCUAAAAGUGUGUCUUAUAUGCGGUGUCAUAAAAGCAUGAAUGGUGCUGCAAAAAGUCUUGUUGAACAUUUUAAGGAAGAAGGUAUACCGACAGGAAAGGUUGCUACAAUGUUCAGUGAAGGGGACUUGGCUUUCUCUAAUAGGGAUUGUUGGAAUCAUGUUAGAAGUCUUCGAAGAAAAAAUUUAGACGUUGGAGAUGCUCAAGCUGUUUUUAAUUAUUGUAAACAGAAACAGGUAGAAAAUUCAAACUUUUUCUAUGAAAUCCAAUGUGAUGAAGAUUCUCGGAUGAUAAACUUUUUUUGGGUUGAUGCUAGAUCAAGAUUAGCUUACCAACAAUUUGGAGAUGUAAUAUCUUUUGACACCACAUAUAAGACUAACAAGUAUAGUAUGCCAUUUGCCCCGUUUGUUGGAUUGAAUAAUCAUUAUCAAUCAAUUUUAUUUGGUUGUGCUUUACUACAAGAUGAGUCAGAACGCUCGUUUAUAUGGUUGUUUGAAACUUUUCUUAAGGCAAUGGAUGGUAAAAAGCCCAAAUCUGUCAUAACUGACCAGGAUUUGGCUAUGAAAGGUGCUUUAGCCAAUGUUUUUCCAGAAACUAGACAUCGCCUCUGCUUAUGGCAUAUUAGGAAAAAAUUUGCUGAAAAGUUAGCUCAUGUUUAUCAUAAAAAUUCCACUUUCAAGCGAGAAUUGAAAAAAUGCAUUCAUGUUUCACCAAGUAUAGAAAGUUUUGAAGAAGACUGGAGCCGAUUAAUGAUUGAGUACGGACUAGACAACAAUGAAUGGCUUCAAGGGUUAUAUAAAAUUAGAGAAUCUUGGAUACCAGUUUAUAAUAGAAGCUGUUUUUUUGCUGGGAUGAAUACAAGUCAAAGAAGUGAGAGCAUCAAUGCGUUUUUUGAUUCUUUUGUGAAUGCAUCUACAACAUUGCAAGAAUUUGUGUUGAAAUUUGAAAAGGCGGUUGAUAGCCGCUUAGAAGUAGAAAAAAGAGAGGAUUAUGAAAGUAGGCAUAAAAAACGCAUUUUGGCUACAGGGUCAAAACUUGAGGAGCAUGCUGCGUCUAUUUAUUCGAGAAACAUUUUUGGUAAAUUUCAAGAUGAGAUCAGGAAGAUCUACAAAUUUAAAAAAAAGAAGAUUAGCAAAGAUGGACAUAACUAUGUCNACGUGAGACAUCUACAUACCAAAACAGCUAUAAUGAAUUGAUUUGGAAAAUAUGUAUACAAACACCCUAUCUUUACUCCAUACUUGUUUAUGUAUCAGAGCUGUCUUCAUCAUCAUCAAUUUGAUAAUUGAAAGGAAGAGGUACUGACUUGAAUGCCCUAUAGUUUCCAACAUUGUUCAAAUGCUCAUUCUCCAACCUGUUCAAGUCAAAACAUCAAGUUCUAAUAUUUAAUCUUAUCCAAGUAGCAAUCAUUUUUCCCACCAAGGUUGUCAAAAUCGGGGCUUUACUUCAGGUUGAAAGGGAAUAGCAAAAUCGAGACUCGUAAAAUCGCAAUCAAAAUCGAAGAAUUUUACUCAAGGACUUUUGUAGAAUCGAUAUAGGAAAUUGUAAAAUCGCAACCAAAAUCGAUGGAUUUUACCAAAAAAAAUAAAAUAAAUAAUAAAUAAAUACAUGUGAUAAAUGGUAUACAGUCAUAAAUGAAUUAGUUCAUAAGAAAACGUAAAAUCGCAAUUAAAAUCGAUGAAUUUUGCCUAUUUUGGGAUUCUACUAUGGAUUUAAGUCCUUGAAGAUGAAGAAAACCGCAAAACCUUGGAUUUUAGGUUUUAAGUCGGGAUUUUGACAACAAUGUUUGCCACUAACUGAUGUAACUAAAUAUAACAAACUGUAACAGAAUACUACAGCAGUUUGAUAUUGCUAGAAUUGGAAUUUUAGUUUUCAAGAAAACUGAUAAAAUUAACACAAACAAUUGAUCAAGAAUAUAUUCAUAAGCGGAUUACCAGAAACCUAUUUUAAUUCAGAAGCUACUAUGAGCUAGCAACUAAUCCAAACUGACAUAAAUGUAAUCAUAUCACUGAAUUGGUACAAAAUUUAUUGAAGAAGUUCCACAAAAGUUACCUGAAAAAGUUCCAAAUGCCACGGCGAAGUAUCUCCAAGCAAGCUACAACAGCAGUCAAAGCUGAUGUAUGAAGGAAUGGAGCUUCCUUAAUGCCUAAAACUGAUUGCAUCCAUGCAAGCCUAAGUAUAACAUUCAACACCUAAAAAACCUUUCAUUAUUAAUCAGUAAACACAGCACAAAAGGAUCCAAGUUCAAAUCUUAGUGCAGAAGAAAAUACUAAAAAUUAAUAAUAUUAAUUAUUAACAUCUUUUGUUUUUUUGUUUUCGGUCAAUGACCAGAAAAAAAAAAUUAUAUAUUGCAAAGACUAAAAAAAUUUACAGAUGCUUAAAAUUUUUUUUGCAGAGAGUAAAAGAUAUUUAAACCAACAAUAAAUAAACAAAACACAACUCAAACAGAUCAACACAAAUGAAGAGUACAUAGUCAUAUUUGCAACAAAAUAACCUACCAUAGCAAGAAAAUAUACACUUUUGUAUGGCACAGAGAGUUUAUCUCUUAACCAUGGAUUUUUUGAGUUUCUUCUAAGCAAACCCCAAUCAAUGACAAUAUCCCAAUAGGUAUUAACAACUGUUGCAAUGCCUGAAGAACUUGCAGCCAGAAUUUUCCAAACUAUUAAUCCUUUAGUGUUUGAAACGUUAAACUCAGUAGUAGUCUUGUUUGCUGCGACGUCUGAGUAAAACUGAUCAAUUGUUCUCAUUGAAAGUGCAACCAUUGUUGAGAUGUAUUUUAGUCCAUUGAGUCCAUGCAUUUUAUUUCUCUCUUCAAGUAAUAAUCUUCGAAGACACUUCAAAUAAUAAACUUCAUGUUAGAUUCAAUAUUUUUAAUAGGAAAUGGUUUAAAAUGGAUGAAUUAUAUCAUACACAUUUGUUAGAGAAGAAACCCUGGUUCAAAAGUAAAUAGAUAACACACAACUUUUUAUGUAGCAUGUGUGAGUUACAAGUAUCACAUUGCUUAGUAAAAUGGAAUUUGAACACUUUAUAAGUGAGGGAAUCAAUAGACUCAAUGUUAGGGCUAUCCUUGCGAAUCCAAAAGAGCCGGUUAAUCCAACCCUGUUGAAAGAAAUGGAGCUGGUCCAACAUCUGUUAAUUCAAGGUGCAACCGGGACGUACCUUUUACACCUUAUUUAUCUAAGAGAAAAUUCAAAAGGCAGCUUAUCAAGCUCGCUCUAAGGGUCCUCCACCAUCCUAAACCUCGGUUUGUGUUGGAGGACUUCUCUCGAGAUCAAAAUGGACUUUUACGGUGAUUGUUUUUCUUUUUUGCUAUUUCUUUUACUUUUUGAGGGUUUUGGUUUGGCCCUUCCUCUUAUAUAUAUAUAUAUAUAUAUAUAUAUAUAUAUAUAUAUAUAUAUAUAUAUAUAUAUAUAUAUAUAUAAAGUAUGAGAAAGAAAAUAUUUCAUAAGAAACUUACCUAUUGUUGUUUUAAAACCUCUACCAUUUCCUAUUGUACAUGUAAUAUUAUUAUUUACUUUUUCUUUACGUAUAAUUAAAAGUACUUACUUAUUUUAGAAAGAUAAAAAUUGAGAAAUUUGUAUAAUUUUACUUUUCAAUUAUAUAAUGAUUUACUUUAAGUAAUGCAAACAAGAUAUUACUCCAUUUGAAAUGUAAAGCUGGUGGAUGUUACUCGAAGUCCAUUAUUAUAAUUUUUUAUUUAAAAAAGACAACUUUAGAAACAACAAAGUGAAAAUACCUAACAAAACCUAAUUGAAACAACGUCGAGGCCACAAAAGUUAGGUUUUUGCUUUCUAUUGAUCAAGAAAUGAAAAAAGGUAUCUUGCUUUCAAUAAACCGAAGUAACGAUGUCAGCAGUUAGGAUUUUUAUACAUUAAGGAAUAAGGACAAAGCUUCUUGUAUGUGUGGAAUGACGUCAAUUAUUUGGACAAAAUCACGUUGAGAAUCACGGCAACGCAGAAGCUUGGCAUACUAACUUCAAAAUUUUCACGACGAAUGUUCAUUGGGACACGGUACUGAGUUUCCAAACACAUGCUUCACUGGAUUGGACAAUGUAUUUUGAUCCAGUGUUUUAUUUAAUCUGAACCUCUUUUAUUUAAUUUGAAACUUUAACUCACACUUAACACAUCACAAUUUCUUUUAUUUAAGUGUGAGACUAUUUCUACGUAUGUUAUCUUACACAAUGAAUCUCUUCGGCUUCCUCAUCAUGUCGAAGCAAACCAUGAGGGACUCUUGGUUGGAUCAACACAUUGAGUUAAGAGUAACCACAAAAGUGAGUUAGACAUCACAUUUUCACCAAAAACUUGAAGUCAUUUAGUUUAUUAUGAGUUCACUUGUAUGUUGUUUAAUAUUAACUCUUCCAUCUACUGUGAGACUAACUCAUUCUUGACACAUUACAACAUCUCUCCCCGAAGGGUGAGACUCUCCACAUCCAUGAUCCAACACCAGAAAUCUCUCGUACUUCUGCAUUAAGUAGAACAAGACAUUGAAAAUUAAUCUCAACAAGAUGAAUCAACGCAUUAGACUAAGGUCGACCAAACAAGUGAGUUGAUAAUCAUUUCACCCUAAAAUCUUAAAAUAUUGGAUUUAUGAGUUAUGUGUUGUCUAAUCAAACACUUUCAUCUAAAGUGUGACUUUAACACACAUCUGACACAUCAUAACAAGUGCAAUUUUGUAUGUAUUUUCAUAUAGUUCCUAAUAUAAUUUACACUUUUUUGUGGUGAUAACAUACUUAAAGAUCGACUAAAUUUUUUUAAAGAAAAUUAUGGUUUUGAGAUUAAAAGUAUUUACAUUAAGAACCAUACCAGGAAUACAAUACACCUAAAUCUAGUUCCAAAUUAUCCGAUCUCCAAAAUAUUUUUUCGUACACAAUACAAUCUAAUCUUCAAGAUUGAUCAUGGAUACGGAAUAUAGUUAUUUUUACACGUAAGACUCCAAUAUUCUUUAUAUUAAAUGAUCAUUUCAAUGGACCAACAUGGAUGAGUAGAUUAAAAAAUGGAGUGUUAAAAAAUUCGUUAUUUAAAACCCAGUCCUAGCAUAAUAUUCAGAAUUUAUUGAUUGUUUUGAACAAAAAAUAAUGUUAUUUAUUUUUUUUAGAUAGAGCUUUGUUGUUUAUGUGAUCAUUCUACCGGAAUUUCGUAAGAUAUUUCAUUACCAAAUGAAAUUAAAUUUACAAGUUGAUUUCUAUAAUUUUUUCAAGUUUGUAGAUUGGUCUCUCUUUAUGUUUCAAAAUCUGCACAAUAGGUCAACAAUUUUUCAAAUUUCACAUAUUGGUCCCUAAACCUUUAAAAAAUUUCAACUUUGCCCCAAUUUAAAAUUUGACCCUUAUUUUUAAAGUUCCCAUUUUUUUACCUCUUUUAUUUUGAUAUUUAUAUACUCUUUACUUAAAAAAAUUAAAAUUUAUAGACAUGACCUAACUCUAAAUAAACUAUCAUUUAUACCAAACAAAAAACAUUAAGAUUGAAAACUUAAUAAAUUAAUAUAAAAAAAAAAUUGUUUAGAUUACAUUUGUACAUAAGUUAUCUUGAUUUUUGUUUAUGUCAUGCGACAACUUGUAGGCAUAUAUUCUCCUUGAACAUUGUAACCAAAAAUUAAAAUAUUCUCCUAGAACAUUCUCAGAAACUUAGAUAUAUAGCAAGACAAAAUAUAUUUUUCAUGAAGAUACAAAGCAUUUGUAGGGUAUCAUAGUCACGCAUAUUGUUCUCAUAUAAACAAACAUAUAUAAAGUGGCGUGAUAGAACUGCAAAUUUUAGCCUAUCAUUGGUUACUAAAUUUAUGUCAAAUUUCAUGUCACACAUUAUUUUAUAUGUAAAGUGGGGGCACAUAAAUUGUCACUGCCAGCUUUGGUGCCAUAUAAUUUGCACCACGUCUUUGACUUAUUAUUCAGGUUCUUCAUGUUUCCAACUUGCCAUGUUCUAGUAGGUACGUUUGUUGCCUCUACCAAAUUGACCAUAUGGUCAUGUUUGAUCAUAGAUAUAAUAUGAAUAUAUUAAUUGAGAGGGUAAGAUUAAGUGAGAAGUGCAUAAUAUUGUCUUAUUACAUAUUUUUUUAAAUCAAGGCCUAAUUUUAUGUGUAGAAUUUUUAUUUUUUUUUGGCUUAACUUUCAUCUUCUCAAGAGAAAGGAUCUGAUAAUCUAGUGUUCGGCCGAGACUUGAGUAAAAUCAAAUCAAAAUUACAACCAACCAUCCUAAAUUUAGUAAAAGUGAACCUAGCUGCAUAAGUUAAGUAGUUUUUUUGUUUUAGCGGUGAAAAAAGAAAGAAACGCACGUUAAGUCUAAAACUUCAAUGUUUAACUUCACAAAAAUCACGGCAGAAGAGCAUUGAAACGCGAGAAAUUGAAAGUUAACGUUGUUCCAAACACCCAUUAAGUAUAAAAAAAAAACAAAAGCUACGAAUAUAAUUAAAGCUACGGUGGGUGUCACCUUGAUUUAGUUUGUAAAGAAAGGACAGAAAAAGUAUUUUUUUUUGAAUGGAGGAAAGAAAGUAAAACAGAAGGAAUGGAAUAUUUUGUGUCAUUGUCCUUCCAAAGCAAUGAAAGAAAUGACUGAAUGAGAUGCACUCAUCCACGUGAGUCAUGCAAGGAUUUCACUUUUAAAAUAAUUUACAUUUUGAUAAAUUUUUAUUUUAUUUAACUAAUAAUUGAAAAUAAUUUAGUUUUUAGUAUUUCACUUUUAUUUUUAAAAGCAAACAACUUAAAUUAAAAUGAGAAGUAGAAGUGUGUAGUUUUGUGUUUUUUUUUAAAAGUUAGCAAAAAAAUUCACAUACAUUAAACCGUAGUCUAAUAUAUCAAAUAUUCUAGAAAUUUGUAUCAUUUUAACAAUAUUUAAGGAGAUAAAAAAAAAAAUUACCUCUUAAAUCAAUCCAUAGUUAGUCAAAUAUUGUAUUUUUUAAUGUAUUAAUAUAAGUUUUGUUGUGUUUUAUUUAUUAUUCAUUUGUCUCAACCAUCGUCUUCUUGAUUGUGAUUUAUCAAGAGUUAUCAUAAUCUUAAACAACAGCAUCACCAUCGUUGGUUGAAUAUAACACAUUACAAAUAUAUAUUUUCAAGUCUAUCAGAAAGGAAAAGUACCUUACGUUUCCAUUUAUAUAUAUUAUGAAUUUGGGAAGUUUUCAUUUUCAAUUUGGUUUGAAAAAUGUGGUUUGUGACAACUGUUUGAUAAACAUGUGUCUUCUAUAUAGUCAUCAUUGAAUAAUUAAGAAGAAAAAAUAAUUUUAUCAUCCACGAGUACUAACUUAGCUGUUAAAAAUAUCAAAAUUGUUAGAUCAAAUAUUGAGAUUGAUGUCUGAACUCUGAUUUCUUCACCAACAUGCAUGAAUUUCUAAUAGUUAUUGUGAUCUCGUCUAUAUAAGAUUGAUAAUAUAUGUUCUUAUCAGUUUAAUAUCUGAUAUGUGGUCCAACGGAUCACACGAUAUUAAAUUACUUUUUUGAGGGGGAGAAGUCACCUCAGUAGCUUACUACUGGACUUUCUCAUAUGUCGCUCAUGCGUUGCACUAUUGCAUGAGUCAGAUGCAUCCCACAAAAAAAGAUUGAUAAAUCUAUUAAAAUAUGAAAACUAUCGUAUUCUUCCAAUUAAACAAAAAUUGCAGCGUAAUCUUCGUUGUCAUGAUGGAGACUAGAUGCGGAAAAUGAAACCGUUCUAAUAGCUUAGCUACCAUUUCAAUCACCAAACGAAAACACAGCACGCUCUAAAUUUAUAUUGGUUCACAUAACUUUUUUUAGGAAGCCAAAAUAUAAUAAAAAGUCAAACACAAAAUGUGCUUAAGAUGGAAUAAAAAGAUACAAAAGUUCUUAACAACAAGAGGAUCAAACCCCCCAACAAAACAAUACAAACAAACAAAACUCAAUUGGAAGAAUAAUUCAGACAAGGAUAAUUAGUCAACAAAGAUUUAAAUCAAUAACUAGAUCUAUUUGAAUUUUAAUCUACUUGUAGAGUACCGAUUGUUGAUAAUGAUACUGAUAUCUAUGAAAGAGCUUCGAAGUUUGCUAAUGAUUAAUCUCUUUUCAAGAAUUUGACUAUCCAUCUUUAAUGAGUUCCACUCGAAUCAAAUAUUGGUUCUCAACUUAUGUUUUUACACAUAUUACGAUAGAACAAUAACGUCCUCUAUUAUCGAAUCCACCCCACACACCUCAUUAUUAUAGAUGAGGUUGUUUCGCGCUUUUCAAAUGGUCCACACCGCCGCAUGCCAAAUCAACUGAUAACCCUUCAGAAUCCUCUUAAUAGAUCCCUUAUCACUCCAACAUUCCCAACGGAUAAAAAGAUUCGGCGGAACCAUAAAAUUAAAAUCUAACCACCUCAUUAAUUUGUGCCAAACCGACCUUUACCACCUCACAAUGGAGGAAGAUAUGAUUUGAUGACUCUUCCGAAACAUUACAAAGGACAUAAGAGGUCGUAGCCCCCAACGGAAGGACAUUCCUCACACAUAGAUUUAUCUGACUCGGGAUUCUAUCAUACAUAAGCUUCCAAGAAAAGGCCACCACUUUUAAUGGAGCCCUGCUUUUCCAAAUAUUGACGAAAACCCUCCUUUCUAAGCCACUGAGGUUAUCAUCCACUAAAACAUCCUCCUCUAACUUCUUAUACAUAGAGUUCACAGAAUAAACACCAUUUUCCUCCAACCUCCACCACCACCUAUCCUUGUUUUGAGUCGGCCUAAAACCAUCCAAAAUCUUGUAACAAGUUGGCAAACAAUUGGCCUUCCCAAACCAAGAAGUUACGUCUCCAAGACCACACCCAAGAGGCUCCUAAUUAAAUCGUUCACCUCCAUCAUCUCCGAUAUAGAAAGAUCUUUCUGGUUUGAAAUUGCAUAUAAUCGCGGAUACUUGGUUCGUAAUGGAACAACCCCUCUCCAAAUAUCAUUCCAAAAACUCGUUUUCAUCCCAUUACCCACCCUUCUAACAACCUUGGAAUUGAACCAACUGAGCCCAACCGUCCCCUCCAAACUCACCAAGUCUUUCCACCACUUAGAAGCAUACCAAGGGCACAACUUACCACCACCCUCAAGCAACAUUCCCACAUUACCGUCAUAUUUCUCCCUAAGGAAUUCUAGCUAAAACAAGUUUUCCCCUUGAAUCAAACGCCACUACCACUUGACCAAAAGACUCAAGUUUUCCCGCCUAACAUCCCUCACUCCCAAUCCACCCUUAGCCUUCGGUUGACACACCUUGGACCACUUAAGGAAAUUACGAGCCAUAUACAUGAACUCUGAAGGCACAUUUAACGCAAUCAAACAACUCUUUGAGAAGUUAACUUUUAAACCUGAUGUCAUCUCGAAACCUCUCAACAAUGCUUUUAACGUCUACAAAUUUGCCACGGUUGCUUUCCAUAUGCGAAAAAACCAACUCAUAUCUCUUGAACCGGAAUCCUUCAAUCAGAUUAAGACUCAAGGCAUUCCUCAUCAAACAACUAAAACCUUCCGCCACCAAGAGAAAAAUGAAUGGAGCUAAAUGGUAGCCCUUUUGAACCCUCUUUGGAUAUUGACCUCUUCCGUCGGACUCCCAUUCACAAGAAUCGACAUACCACCUCCAAAAACACACGUCUUCAUCCAAGACACCUACUUAGCACAAAAGCCAAAUCUACACAUCAUAUAUUCUAAAAACCUCCAAUCCACCGAAUCAUACGCCUUCUCAAAAUCCACUUUAAGAAUUAGGCAUUGAAACUUAAACUUUUUCGCAUAGUCAACUAUUUCAUUUUCAAUCAAAACACCAUCCAUCAAAUUACGACCUCUAAGGAAAGACGUCUGCGAUGUAGAUAUAAUAUAAGUCAUCCCCUCUGCCAAUCGUCUAGAAAGCACCAUGGAAGGAAGUUUAUACAAACUUCCUUCGAGAGAAAUAGGUCUUAACUCCUUUACUGUCGUUUGGGAAGACACCUUCGGAAUUAAAGUCACAAAGUAAGCCAAUAAACUUUUUGGCACCACCUCGUUUGCAUGAAAUUGAUCAAACAAAAUCCGCAUCUCGUUCUUCAACAAAUACCAAAACUCCUUAAUAAAAGGAAAAUUAAAACCAUCCGGUCCCGAACUUUUAUUCCCAUCGCUCGCCAUCACAAUUGCUUCAAUUUCCAUUAGAGUGAACGACCUUACCAAAGCCUAAUUUUGUCCUCCGGAUAAUCUCGCAAAUAAUACACCAUCCAACCUAGGAUGCUCCCAUGGUGUUGAGGUGACAUGCCUAGUACAAUACGAAACCACCUUUCGAGAUGAGUACCUAAUCAAUCCUACUCAUAGACCUUCCAUUUGGAUGAACCCAAGUACCUUAAAGAAAUAUGUAUUCAAAACAUUUUAUAUUUUCAUUUCAAUAAGUUUUUAACGGUGAUGGUCUUAUUUGAGACAACAUCGUCAAAUACUAAACAUGUAGACGACUCUUUUACACAAACUUUGAAACUUUGAACAUUUUCUUUUUGAAAUCUUUUGUUCAGAAACACACAUAUAACGUGGAAGAUCCUGAACUUGAACUUUGAACCGUGUUUGAACUCGGAACACAUAACAGAUAUUCAAAUUAACAAUAUCAAUACCAACUGUGCUAGGUUUUAAAAAGAAAUUAGAUCUUUGACUUGUGGGGAGUGGCAGUGGCUAUGUGUGAGAAUAUUUAUCACCUACUUCUUUUGACUUGUAAUACUUUUUUACUUUCUCAUUUGUUUCCAUUUUUCUUAUUCAUAUUUAUGGGGUUUCCUCAAUAUUCUUCAUUCAUGGACUCUCUUUUCAUAUUUGUAUGUGCCAUAUUUUAUGAACAUUAAAAAUUUAGGGAAAAAAAUAGGGUUAAUGGUGUUUUACCCCCUUGUAAUAUAGGUCAUUUUUUGUUUUUCUCCCUGUAAAAUAUUUUUUUUGAUUUACCCCCUAUAAAAUAUUUUUUUUUUGGAAUACCCCCCUAAUAGGUCAUAAAAAAACGAAAAAAUUAUGCAAAAAAAUAAAAAUAAAGUCGUUUUUUUAUGACCUAUUAGGGGGUAUUCCAAAAAAAAAAAAAAAUUACAGGGGGUAAAUCAAAAAAAAUAUUUUACAGGGGUAAAACACCAUUAACCCGAAAAAAUAUUAGGUUAUUAGCUCCUUUUUGUCAACUUAGAUUAGAUUAGUACUACUAUUUACGGUUUUUCCUCAAUCUUUUUCAUUCAUAGACAUAUACUCCCUUUUCAGAAUUAUAGGGGCUAAAUUUUAUGACGGGCAUAAAAUAAUUUUGGCAAAGUUAUUAGGCAAGUUUUUAUUUUUUAGUAGUUUAGCAGUUAGAACUCACACAAUUAAAUAUGAAGAAGUGGGGUAUUCGAGGUUCGAAACAAUGUGUCUACCAUUGUGUCUACCAACUGAGCUAAACUCACGGAGACGUUAUUAGGCAAGUUAGUAGGUUAUUCCUUUAUAUCAAUUUCCAUAAAAAAAAUUGGAAUAGCACUAUUUAUGAUUUUUCCUCAAAUCUUUUUAAUUUCAUUCAUAUAAUCCCUUAUCAGAUUUAUGGGUGCCAAAUUUAAUGGACAUUAAAAAAUUUAGGCAAAAAUUAUUAGGUUACUCUGUAUGUUAAUUUAGAUUAGUACUACCUACUUAUAAAUACAUUUAUUUUAUUUUUUCUAUUUUGUCAAACACAACUGUGCAGUCAGAAAAAUACAUAAGUCAUUGAAUAAUAUUGUAAAGUCAUUUUGAAGUUAACAGCUUCUUAUCUGUCAUCUCAAUAUCUUAUUAUGAUUUGGCUUAUUGGACUCAAUAUUUGCAAUGACCUGUACUCUUUUUGUUUGUUUCCUCAUUUUUUGAUAAACUUUUUAAUUAAAAUGACCACGUUCUCAAAAGGAAGCUUGCUUUUAAAGACAGUGGAAGAACAUUCCUUAAAAACACAAAUAAAAUUAUAUAAAUACAGGUGACAUAAAUAUUUUAUUGCUUCCCUAAAAAAAAAAAAUUGUUAGAAUACAAAACUGACCUAACAUUUGUUUUGGUCUUUUUUUUGAGAGCAUUUGUUUUGGUCUUAUUGACCUAAUUAUUUUUUUGCAGUCAAAUAAAUUACGUAAAAUAAAAAUAUAAUUUUUUGACAUCAACAAUUCUUGAACAACUUUAUUCAUAAGCCGAAUUACAAUUAUCAAGGUUUCCUUUUUGAAUUGGAGGGUUAAGAUUGAAAAGAGAUCCAUUUUAAAUGAAGAUAAAUUUAUUCAAGACAUUGUCUGACACUAAAUUGUACAUCUAUUAUUCAGGAUUUGAAAUUUGGUUUGUCACCUUAUAGGAGACUAAUUCAUUUAAUUUGAUCCAACACGUUGGCUUUUAUUGCUCGUUUAAUUAUUUUGUUUUUCUCAUUUUUGAUAAUUUUUUAAUUAAUCCCCUCAAAAAGAUUAAUUAAAAUAAACACGUUUUUCAAAAGGAAGCCUUAUUUUGAGGACAAGGGAAAAACGUUUUUUAAAAAACAUAAAUAAACAUAAAUUCACUAAUUAUGUAAAUACAAGUUUUUUUUUUAGCAAAGGAAAGAUUAAUUCAUUUCAUUAAUAUAUAAUAAGUGGAUAGAAGUAACCACGAACAUCAUAAAAAAAGGUAGGGACAAAAAUGAGAUAAGGAAGCUCUAGCGAUGUAAUGAGCUACCUUAUUUGCUUGUCUCCUUGCAUAAAUCACAGAAUAAUUAUCGUGGGAUGCUAAUAAGGUCUUACAUCUAGAGAUUAUAUCUCCAAACUCAUUAAGAGGAGUAGAGGUGGAGAUAAUAGCAUCAACAACUAACUUGCAAUCAGAUAAUCCAUAACAUCUAGAGAUUAUAUCUUCAAGAAGGCUUAGAGCCUCGACUUCUGAAGGGGAAGAAGUAUAUAAAGAAUACUUAGAUAAUCCAUAACGCAACACCCCUGAAGAAUCUCGAAAGCAGAUGCCAAGCCCUGCGAUGGUAUUGUUGAUGAAGAGCGCACAAUCUACAUUGCAUUUUAACCGGGAUGGAGGAGGUUUAACUCAUAGCUCAUCCGGAUGUAGAUUCUGGUUGGGCUGCCUUGCUCUUUGUAAACAGUGUCAUUCAUGAAGAGAAUUAUGUGCUUGUUGAACGAUCAAUGACGAGGGAGUGUCAGUGUCAAUGUCAAUGUCUUCCCAUAAUUUAGAGUUUCGGCCCAUUAACCCAUUUUUUUUUAUUAUGGUUCAAUUAGUGAAAAAAAAAAAAUUAACAGCCAGCAUAGCAUGAUUAAUAACUAAAAUUGGUUUAUUCAAUGAUAUGUACACCUGGCCAGCCUACCACAUGCAGCUUACACUAUAAAUAGUCGUUUCACUAUUUUUAUGACUCCAAAACCUUAACACGUUUUCAUUCUCAUUUUCCUCUUCAAAACCUUAAUUUCACAUUUAAAUUCUCUCUUUUUGAUUAUCAUACCAACAUCAGCUGCAUCCAGAGAGAGACCUGAGUUCUACAACCGGUCUCCUCUGGAAGUCAAAACAAAAAUUCAAGGUUUGUUUUCUUUUCCUUUUUAUUUUAUUUUAUUUUAUGUUAAUUUUCUUCACAUUAAAAUGUGCAUAUAGUUAUGUUAAUCCUAUGAUGAAGUCGGCAAAUAGGUUUUGUAUAUAAUAAAAUGUUGCUUUGUUGAUUUCUUUAAUUCAAAGGUUGAUAUGAUUGAUUUGAUUUUCAUUUCUUAAAUGAUGAUGGGCCCUUCAUACCUUCAUGUGAAUUCAUGACCAUAAGAAAUGAUAUAUUGAUAGCUAGCUAUGUUAUAUUGCAUUUAUGACAAUAACCAAAUUAAUAAAUAUUAUAAAUUUUCCUGGAGUUGAUUUUAAGAACUGGAAUUUCACAUUUUGGAAGUAAUUUUUUCUCCUUCUGGGGAGAGUUAGAGGAAAAAACUUUUCCAGGUUUUUGUUUUGUUUUAGAUUAGUUUUCCCCUUUCUUAAACCCUUCUGGUGCCGGCUCAUCAAUCGAACUACCUACAUGAGUACUUUCUUGUGUUAGUUAGCUAUAGCUAACAUGAAUCUUUAAUCAAAUGUUAAUUAUGAUUUUGACUAAUGAAAUGUUAAUUAUGAUUCAUAAUUUAUGCCUUUUAGAUUUUCUUAGAAUGGGUGUGCAUGCUUAAACACAAGACAUUGUUUGUUUCUAUCAAAAGAAAAAAGAUUUUUUUGAAGAAAGUUGAUGAAUGUGAUUCUUGUUGUAGUUGGUUUUAAAGUUGUUUGUAGUUUGUUAUUUGUCUUACAUUGAGUGUAUAAAUAUGUCUGAGUAUCCAUAUCCUUUGAGCUAGUUUUUAGGAUCAGAUCUAACUCUAUUUAACAAUUUCAUAUGUACAAGAUUACUAUAAAAAAAUUGUACUUUUAAGAAAAUUUUAGUGGUUAGUUUUUGUUUGUACUAUGUGAUUCUUUGAAUUGAUUCUAUUGUAACACAACUUUUUGUUUCUAUAUUUUUCAGGUUUAGCAGCAUGGAAAAUCACAUAACUCUUGAAAUCAUAGAACAAGCUUCUCCACCAGAAACUCCAUCACUAAUAAAGUAUAUAUCAUCAAAUGAACUUGAAGAUUUUGAUGAAUUUGAUUCUGAAUUUCCCAGCCCAAUUUCCAAAGUAAGACUCCUUUUUAAGUCAUUUUUAUUGCUUCUAAUAAAAUUUAAAAUGCCUAUAUCAUUUUAGAACUUAUGACAUGUCCAUACAUCUUAUUAUCAUAAAAUAUUUGGGAUAACUUAUGAGAACAGCUUAUAUCUUGCAUAAAAUUUGUUUGACCUUACUUUCUCUUUAUAGAAAUAUGGUAUCUUUCGAUUGCUUAUUUUGACUUAUUUCCUGACAUAAGCACUUGUGAGACUGUUUGACGCAAUUUAUAUAAACAGCUUAUGACAUGUUCAUAAAUUAAUUUCUUCUUUUUUCAGUAGCCUCUUAAAAAUAGCUUAUGAAACCAACUUAUAGCGUAUAUGAAAAUAAAUUAACUUUAUUUUAUCUUUUGUUAUAGAAUUAUCUUAUAUAUAAGCACUUAUAUGUAAGCGCUUAAUUAAGGUCUUUAUCCAAACAAGACCUUGUGACAUAACUAAAAUCUAACUUUUUUUUCAUGUAUUUUCAAUAGGAAAGUGAAGAAACAUACAAUCAUCAAAGAAAGCCUUCAAUUUCUGUUAGCAUGCCACUUUGUUAUAAAGAAACUCAACUUCAAUCACUAAACAACAACAAUAACAAGAAUGUUUCCUUUAGUGGCGAAAAUGUUAUUAUCAGAGAUGAUUUAGCAUCAGGAAUUGCAAUGUCUGAGCCUCCAAGACAAUCAAAAUUUAAGUCUCAACCAAUGCCAAAAGGAGUUGCUUUCCAACAAGAUGGUUCUCAAACUAGAAAGGCUAAUCGUAAUCAUAAUCAACCUGGAAUAAAGAUGUUUAGAGAUAAGAGAUUUGACUCGUUCAAAACAUGGUCUGGUGGUGGACUCGAGAGACAAUUAUCGAUUCUACGUGGAAAAGAACCGAUUGGAAAUGCACAAGAUGGUAACAACGCUACAAGAAGCUUUGAUAGGGCUUUACCUGUUGAUAGGUAUUUUGAUGCAUUGGAAGGUCCAGAAUUAGAAACUCUUAAGGUAAGUGAUUUGGUUACAUUCAUCAACAAACUCAUAUUCAAGAUUUUAUGCUUUUACUCAUUGAAGAUUAUAACAUAUUUUGUUUUUCCUCUUACAACAGUCAUCAGAAGAGAUAAUGCUACCUCAUGACAAACAAUGGCCGUUUCUUCUCCGGUUCCCCGUUUCAUCAUUCGGUAUAUGCCUCGGAGUUAGCAGCCAAGCAAUUCUUUGGAAAACCCUAGCCACAUCACCUACCACUGAAUUCCUUCACAUAACUCCCAAAAUAAACCUAAUCUUAUGGUACAUCUCCGCGGUACUUAUAGCUACCAUUUUCGCAGUCUAUAUUCUCAAACUCCUUUUCUACUUCGAAGCAGUUCGUCGGGAAUACUACCAUCCGAUCCGUGUUAACUUCUUCUUCGCACCAUGGAUAGCUCUCUUGUUUUUAGCACUUGGUGUGCCUCCAUCCGUUACCAAAAACCUACAUCAAUCUCUAUGGUACAUUCUUAUGGCACCAAUAUUAUUUCUCGAGCUAAAGAUUUAUGGACAAUGGAUGUCCGGUGGACAAAGGCGGCUUUCGAAGGUGGCGAACCCUUCGAAUCAUUUAUCAGUUGUUGGAAACUUUGUUGGAGCGUUACUUGGUGCAUCGAUGGGACUAAUUGAAGGACCUAUUUUCUUCUUUGCUGUUGGACUUGCUCAUUACACUGUGUUAUUUGUGACACUUUAUCAAAGACUUCCAACUAAUGCAACCCUACCUAAAGAGCUACAUCCAGUGUUCUUUCUGUUUGUUGCAGCUCCUAGUGUUGCUUCAAUGGCUUGGGCUAAGAUGCAAGGUUCCUUUGAUUAUGGAUCAAGAAUUGCUUACUUCAUUGCCUUGUUCCUUUAUUUCUCCUUGGUAAGUUUUAUUGUCACACUUUUACUUGAAAUAUGCAUAAUUAGUUCUCAUUGAGUAAAGGCCUGUUUAGUUUAUAAAUUUGCAUGGGCAAUUAAGUCAUUGAAAUACUAAAAUAUUAUUAAAAAAUGUUUUUUCUUAUUAAUGUGGUUUCUUCAAAACAAUUUCAGAGAUUAAAUUGACUAACCGAAUAGGACUAAUAUGGUCAAAAAGUUUUAAUCUCAAAGAUCUAAUUGUUUGACCUCUAUAAUUUUAGGGACUAAUAUGGUUAAAUUUUAAAAAAAAUCAAUUUCAAGGGCCAAAUUAUCUGACCUGUAAAAUUUCAGAGAUUAAAUCAACGCUUCAUUCAUAUCAUGAUGAUAUUCACUCCUAAUUUUAUAUGCAGUAUAAAACAAGACCUUACAUAAAUGUCCCAUAUAAUCUAACAAUUUUCAUUAUUUAUGAAAUUGAUGAAAUUUACUCACUAGUUUUAUAUAUUUUUACAGGCUGUAAGGAUCAAUUUCUUCAGAGGAUUCAAGUAAGUUACAUUAUAUCUUUUCCUUAUCUCUUAUAUUGUCUAAUUAAUUUUCUUAUACUAUUGAAUUUUCUUUCAUAAAUUAACUUUUUAUGUUAAUUUUACAGAUUUUCUCUUGCAUGGUGGGCCUAUACUUUUCCAAUGACUGGUGCAGCAAUUGCAACAAUAAGAUACUCAAAUCAAGUACCAAAUAUUGUCACAAAAUCAUUGUGUAUUGCAUUGGCUCUAAUCUCAACAUUCACAGUUAUAGCACUUCUUCUAUCAACAAUAUUGCAUGCAUUUGUCUUCAGAGACCUCUUCCCUAAUGACAUUGCUAUUGCCAUAAGUGAUAGAAAGAGAAAGCCACAUAAACACUGGUUGUUUAGAUAUGGAAGCCAAGACUCCAAAGAGAUUGAAAAUUACUUGAAGUUUGUGAACACUGAUGAAAGUAGUUUGGAUGAUUCUACGCCACAACCGUCCUCAAACGACACUGAUCAUAAUUUGCCAAAAUAAUUCGAUUGCAAGGUUUUAAAUAAGGGUUUGCGAGGAUCUAGGCUGUGACAUCGAUGUUUUUGAUAGUACUUUUGCAUUGGUAUUGGUAAAAUGUCACAAUUUCCGGAUGGUCUAAUAUUAGAAAAAAAAUUGUCAUUUCCUAAAAGCGUUUGUAUUGGUAAUCCAUCGCCUACUCCGGUUCCAAGGCCUACUCCAGUUCCAAAGCCUACUAUGGUUCUAAUGCUAUACAUUCCUCAUGUUGAUUGGAUGCCUUUGUUCAUGUGUCCAUACAUUGAAAAAAAUGUGGAUGUUUUAGGUGAUGGUAAUUGUGGAUUGCGAGUUGUAGCUGUACAUGUUAGUGUGGAUUGCGAGUUUCAAGUUGUAGCUGUACAUGUUAGUGUGGAUUGCGAGUUGUAGCUGUGCAUGUUAGUGUGGGUGAUGAACUCAUUAAAGAGUUAACUAAUCGUGAGAGUGAUUAUAUGCCAGUAUUGGAAGUGAGAAACAUUUUCAAUAUAUCUUGAAUGAUUCGUAUCAUUGAAAAAAUAAUGGAUUUGCACCAAUACAGAAGUGGUACAUUAUUGCAACUUUCAACAAUAAAGUUGUGGUUGAGUUGGCAAAACAUGAAAUCGGUAUUUCUGAAGAAAAAAAAUCCCGGUUAGAGGACAGCCACCACUAAACACAAAUACCUACCUUAUAUGUCUUGGCUUAAUAUGAGAACAUUUUGUUCACGUAUUUUUGAAAGACGGGUGUCGAAUACCUCCAUCAUGCACAAAGUGAAAACUGCACAAGAAAGAGGAAGCAGUGAUAUGAAUAUACUUUUUUGGAUAGACAAUCUUGGUUUUGAGAAAUUAUGGAUAUUGAAAGAGGAGAUCAACCACCCAAGAGAGAAUCAAAUGAAGUGAUUUCCAUUCCUCUUGAUAGUGAAGAUGAUGAACAUAAGAAUUUAAAGAGGAUGAAAAUGAAGAAGCAAUUUCACUAUAUAUGAUAUGACACUUUACUUGUUGAUUAUAAACGAUAAAUUGGUGUACUUCUUGUUAAAUGAUGUUUCCGACAAACAUGUCGUUUCGUGUCAUGGUUGUGCAUUCAAAUAUUGCAGACCGCAUUUAUCUCCAGAAAUGAUAAUUAACUCCUGUUGCUCACAACACUAGUUAGCUAUCGUUCCUGGAGCUAACUAUUGCUGGUAGCUAAUAAUAAUUAACCGUCGUUAAGGGUAUUUUCGUCAGUUUAGAGUGUCUGAGAGCAAAUGGUGGGUGACUAAAAAUUUCCAGGGGCAAAUACUAUAAGUGGAUUGUUCUUUAGGCACCUAUAAUAAUUGCUCACAAACACCUACAGGACAAUAGUUAACUGCCGAACAAAGAAAUUUUUUAGAGAGAUUAAAACAAAAAUUGAUAUAUUUAUAUAAAAUCCAGAAGCAUAUUUAACCUUUAAAUACUAACAAAAACAAUAGUUUGUUAAGUAAAUCUAUCUCUAAAAUAUAAAGAUAAUUGUUUUGGUAAGAAGCAUUCAGUUGAUCUAAUUGUUUCAGACCGUCCAAGGAGCAAUAUUCACAUUUGAAAUUACCAAAAACUACAACUUGAGAGUUGAUUUCUUAACAAAAGUUGCCCUUGAAUCCAUUAUGAAAGUAUCCCCCACAAGCUGCCAUGGGUGGGUUGCAAACUGCACAUCCAUCAAUGUUAAUAAUGCUAGUAGAGACUGAAAUUUCCUAGUAUUACGUACCUACACAUUUCAGAAAAAAAUAAAUUAAUAUCAUAUUUUUUUAGGAAUAAUUUAAAGGCUUAAUCGUAUAUUUGACCCCAAAAGUUUCAUUAUUGUGCAAUUUUGACCCUCCUAAAUUUUUUGUCCGAUUUUGGCCCCCCAAAUUUACCCCUUGAUUUUGUAACCCACACUUCAAUUUUGCGUUGAGUUGGAAAUUUAAUAACAUGGCAUCCUUGUCACUUGGCCACAUUCAAUAUUGAUAAUUUAAAAUAAAAAUAAAUAAAUAAAGUCAAAUUGAAUGGUAACUGGACAUGUUAACACACCUUAUUUAAACCCUAAAUAGAAUGAAGGUUUGAUUCAGAAGAAAUUCUUGUGUUUCUUCAAAGCUGCAACAAUUAUUAAAAUUGUCAACUAUGCGCAAAAUUCUAGUGGGAGCUAUGAAAUUAGAAAGAGGAUAAAUUUGAGGGAUCAAAAUCGUAAAAAAAAAAAUUGGGAGGUCAAAAUCACACAAUUGAGAAAUUUUGGGGUUAAAAUUAUAAUUAAGCCUAAUUUAAAUGGGGUCAUCGAUCAUAUUAGUCACAAUUUUUUUUUGAUAGGCCAAGAGCAAAAUGACAUCAAAAAGAACCAUGAAUUUCUAUAAAAAUUUCUAUAAAUUGGUGUGCUUCGUUCAACUAUUGCAAAAUACAACAAAGAACCAUGAACACUUAUCUAGUAGAUCCGAACACCAACUUAGAAGCAAUUUACUAAAAAGGGGGGAACCUCAAUCUUUUCAAGGUUCGGGUUGAUGUCACAGUGUCUCAGUUGAAGGAUCAAUUGGACCAAAUCGGCCUCCGACUCAACCACAAAGACAGAAGGAGGGUGGACAGUGUUGACUAUUGUCGUCCAUAUCGAUCAUUGUAAAUGGAAGUGUCUAGUUCACCGAGAUAAAGCUCAAGAACGACGACGAUUUCAAAACCAUGUUCUCAAUAUUUGAUCAACAUAGUAUGAAAGGACUGACCAAUUUUGACGCUUCAUUGGUCAGAUCUGUAGAAGAAAUUUGAAAAAUAUUUAUUCAGCUCAAGACUUAUGAAGAAUUUAAGGCUAGCAUGGAUAUACCAAAUGAAUAUUUAAGUUUGGACAAUCUAUGAUCUUUUUUGUGUGAUUUAUUAUGUUGUUUUAUUCUGUUGGUGAAAUUUUUAUUAUUAAUGUACGUUGUUGAAAUACAAUUUAUCGUGUUGUGAACCUUGCUAAACCCUCCAAACAUCAAAUUUUUAUAAAGUUUGAGUUGAUUCGAAUUAUAUAAUCUGAAAAGCUAUGUGAAUAAUUCAGAUUAUAUAAUAUGAACUAACUCAGAAUCGAUUGUGGCAUUACAGACAAGGUAUGGACAGUUUGUUAUGUGUUUAAUACUUUUUUGGUCGGUUUACAUGCUCAAAAAAGUAUUAUUUGACUGUAAUUACAAUCUAUGAACGAUUUAUGACUAUAAAUAGUCUUAUAUCCUUCAACAUUUACAUUUAUUCUCCACUUUUUGUUCAUUUUAAUAUUUUGUUUCUUCUAUUUAUUUUUGAAAUUUAUUUUUUCUAAAGGUGGAAGAAAAAACUCAAUUAAAGAAUUGAGUGGACCAUGUGUGGAUGUUCAUAAACUCGAUAAAAAGAAACUCUAGCCAAGUGGCCUUCAUUAUGUUGCUAAUUGUUUAGCACAAAAGCAAGGGUUUUACUUGUUUUGGACUUGAGUGGGUGUUCAUGUACACUAUUGUUAUAUUUUUGUUGAAGGUAAGAGAAAUAAAAUAUUUGAUAAGAUUUUUUUAAAAAAAUUUAAUAAAUAAAAACACUUGGACAUGUACUUCUUGAGAGGUUGGAUAAUUUGGACAUGUACUUCUUGUACAUUGACAAUUGUCUGAUGAUAUAACAAUGCAAAUUGCUGACAUCGUUAGAUCGAAUUUUAGAAAGCAAGAAACCUUUUUCAUUUCUUGAUCAAUGGAAAGCAAGAACCUAACUUUUGUGGCUCAACGUCGUUUCAGUUAGGUUUUUAUUAGGUAUUUUCUAAAGUUGUCUAUUUAAAUAAAAAUAAAAAAUAAUGAUGGACUUCGAGUAACAUCCACCACCAUUAGUCCAUUACAUUUCAUAUGAUAUUUAUCGAGGUUUUUAUUUGUAAUCAUAAAUAAACAUGUGAUGUGAUAAUGUUUUCUUUCAAAAAGAUAAACAUGCGAUAAUGUUUAAAAAUUUAAAAUAGAGUUUUGUAGUUUAUGUCAUUCUAUCUGGCCGAUGAGUUAAGAUAUUUGUUUAUAUCAAAUUCAAUUAUAAAUUUUUAAAUUGAAGCUCAAGAGGGAUAAGUUCAGUAAAUUUGACUCUAUAAUCUAAAUGUAUUUAGUGAUAUGACUAUUAUUAUAGUUAUAAAUGAUCAGUAACGUCAUUGUAUUUUUUUUUUUGUGUGAAUUAAAACAAACAAAUGAAAAAUAACAUAAAAGACACGCUAAGUGUCUAGGCGUUCCCACAUACCUGAUCUAAGAGGCCAGAUGGCGAAGAUGACCAUGUAGUGACACCAUGACGGAAGAAUUCUCAUAUUUUACAAACCAAUCAACACUAAGAUUAGCUUCUCGAAAUAUAUGAUGCAGGACCAAUUCUGGGGAUGGUCGAUCAAACUUGUCAUCCUUAGCAGUAAUGAAUUAUAUGCUUAAAACUCUAACUUAUUUCUUCGAGUCAGCAACCGAAUAGCCUCAAGGCUAUCUGAUUCUAUAAUUGCUCUUGAAUGUUCAUGUUGAAGUAGAAGAGUGAUACCAUGAUAAAUUGCAAAAACCUCAGCAAAUAGCACAUCACCACCAUCAUUGGAGAAAAAACCAAUAAGCCAGGUACCUUUCUCAUCCCAAAUAAGACCACCUCUACCAAUCACUCCUUCUAAGUUGCAACUUCCAUCAACAUUCGAUUUCACAAGACCUUGUUGUGGAGGUGGCCAUCGCACCUCCUUUCUAAUCUUAUUAUUUGUUCCUUUGUCAAGCAGAUGAUGAUCUAUAUUCUAAUGCAAUGUAUGAAUGUAUCUAAGUAUAUUAUACUUCUUCCAUUGGUUGUCACCUAGGAUUCUAUGAAUUUGCCAUCUCCAUACCCACCGCAAAGUGGAUAGUAAGACUUGAGGAGAUUGAGAUUGAAGACCUUCCUUAAUCCAAUAUUGUGUCUUCAAUGUUGAGAAGAAGUGUCGAGUAUACCUUAUAGGAAUAGCUUUCCAAAUCUCUCGUGCAAAGUGACAAUCCCUUAAGCAAUGCAAGACAUCUUCAUUAGUUAGAAAGAAACUACCACAUGGAGCACUAGCCGUGAGAUUGCACCUUCUUCAAAUAUUGUUGAUAGGGAGCGCUUUGUGGAGGCAAAGCCAAACAAAGUGUCGGAUUUUCUCACGCACUUUAAUUCUCCAAACCCAGUUCCAAUCAUCUAAUGUGUUUCAAGUUCUAUUGCGAGCUAACAACCAAUCAUAGCCAGAUUUAUAGGUAUAUAAGCCUUAUCUUAUAGUAAUUCCAUAUACACAUAACAUGUCACUCUUCAUUAUAAGUAACAUGAGGAGGGUGUCGGUCAACAAACUCAACAAUUUUAGAAGGUACAUUAGUCAAUAAAGAAUUACAGUUCCAAAACCCAUUUGAGCUAACCUCCCUAAGCGUUAGAUGAGUAUAUAAGAUGUUGACAAAAUCAACCUCUUGGCACAAUCUCCCCAUCCUAGUCCAAUCAUAAAACCAAAAUGAAGAACUUCGUUCACUAAUGCGUAACUAAAACCUUUUAUAAGAUUGUAGUUGAAUCCAAUAUACUUCUCCAAACUAAAGAAGGGCUUCCAUUGCUUUGCUGCUCCAUAAAGAUCCAUGCUUAAUCUAUUUGCACUCAACAAGCGCACCUAUAGUUUGUUCUUAUCAUGUAACAAAAUCCACACCAAUUUUUCAAGUAAGGCUAAAUUAGUGUUAUUAGCAUCUCUAAUAGCUAACCCUUCAAAUUUUCCAAGUAAGGCUAAAUUAGUGUUAUUAGCAUCUCUAAUAGCACACCAUUUAUCCAUGUUCCACUUUCUUGUUACUCCAUUUCCUCCACAAAUGAAGCUUUUAGUAAUCUUAUCAAUACCAUCAAACAAUUCUUUAGGGAGAGGAUUAAUUUGCAUAUGAUAUACUGGUAUGGAGGUUGUGACUGAUUUCGCUAAGAAAACUCAUGACUCUACCAAGAACUAAAGGAAAACCCAAAUAAUGGCCAAACGGAUCAACUGAGAUACCCUAAAUAUCUCUUUUAGUCCUCUCCAGAACUCUCUUCGAACACAUUGCUUUCGAUUUGAUCACAUUGACUUUCAAACCUAAAGAAGAUCAAAACUCAUUGAAUGUAUCAAUAACCACUUGUACCUAUGUGUAUUAGCUACACAAAAUAAGAGAACAUCAUCAAUAAAAUCAUUAUUAUUAAUAAUACUUAUCGCUUCAUUAAUUUUUUAAUUUAAAAAAAUUCCAAAUUGUUUUUCAAAUUUUCCCAACUAUGCAUAUCGAUCUCUAUAUAUGUUUCAAAAUUUGAAUCUUAAAUUUUGUCAUUUUGAUUUUUUUUCAUAUUAUGUAAAUUCGUCAAACAUGUUACAAAUUUUACACAAUACAUGUCCCUUUAAAAAAACUUUCUUAAAAUUUUUCAUAUUGAUCUACAUUUUUUCUCUUUCAAAAUUUGCAUAUUGGUACCUCAAGUUUUCUAAAGUUACUAAUAUUUUAAAAUUCCCAUUGUGUACCUCUUUUCUUUUGAUAUUUAUACCUUUAUCACAAUUUUUUUGCAAUUUAAACAAAUAGGCCAACUCUUAUAACCUUUUAUAUACACCAAACAUAAAUACUUUAGAUCAAAUAAUAUUAAUUAAUUCAUCUAAACAAAAAAAUAAAGAUUUGUUUGAGAUAUUUAUUAUCCGUACAUCAUAAAGAUUAAUCAACAUGUGCAACCACUAUUGGCCUGUACUGGUCAUAUAUUCUCCUAGAACAUUCGUAGAAACUUAGAUAUAUAGCAAGACAAAAUAUAUUCGUCAUGAAGAUUCGCAGAAAUAUAUAGAUACAUAGCAUAUGUAGGGUAUCAUAGUCACGCAUAUUGUUCUCAUAUAAACAGACAAAGAUAAAGAGGCGUGUUAAAACAAUACUGUAGGCCAUUAAUUAUAUGUCAAAUUUCAUGUCACACCGUUUUCUUACAAAAAAAUGUCACACCAUUUUAGCUGCAAGUGGGGGCACAUAAAUUGCUAGUUCCAGCUUUGGUUGGUGUCAUAUAAUUUGAACCACGUCUUUGACUAAUUAUUCAGGUUCUUCAUGUUGCCAACUUGAUAAUGGUAGCUCUAUAUCCAUUACUAAAAAAAACAAAAAUUAGUGAGGGAAAACAUAAAAUCGCUCUCUAAUUCUGUCACUAAAUUUUGCGAUUAAGGAAUUUGUGAUUUUUUUGUUUUCCGUCACAAAUUUCCCUCCCUAAUUUUGCUUUUCCUAGUAAUGAUCAAGCACAUUUCUUGUUGGCUCUACCAAAUUGACCGUAUGAUCAUGUUUCAAUUGAACAAUAUUGAUCAAGUGAGGGGUUCAUAAUGUUGCCUAUCGAGUAAACAAAAUCUAUUAAGAAUCCCAUAUCAGAUAGAUGAUGGUCUAACAAUGUGUUUAUAGGUGAUGGCCCCACAUCGGAUAGGACCGCCGGUUUAGCAUGCUGUUUUUUGUGGGGGCUGGUCGGCCAACUUAACUUGUUUUUCUUUCUUUUUUUAGAAUGAUUUCAUCCUUUUGAUUUAUAUUGGUUGUUGGACUUAUUUUAGGAUUUGUUUAUGUUGCGAAUUUGUUUUAUGUUGACGCCUUUUCUUUAUUUUGCGAUUAAGUAUGAUGUUAAGUUCGAAAUUUGAUUUUUUUUUUUUAAAAACAGUUCGAUAAUUGGUUAAUUAUCUUAUUUUUACCAUAAAUUUAUUUGAUGUUUAUGUUUUUAUAUUUGUUUUUAUGAUAAAAUCUAAAUAGUUUUUUUUUUUUGAGAAAAAAAUAGUGUUUUGUUAUAAUUAAGUUGUAAAAAAAUGCAUUAAAAAAUGUUGUUGUUUUUUCUUUAAAAAAAGAAGUUUUCUGUUUGGCGGGCCGGCCUGCCAACUCGUAUGUCCACCACUAAACGGGAUAGGGGGAGAUUUUGGACUCGGCCAUCUAAUUUGACUCGGCCCGUCUCAUCCUGUUUUAAGCAGACUUAUGCAGGGCGAGCCGACCCGCUUUGCUAUCCCUAAUUUCUUAUUGGAUAAUGCUAGACCCAGCUAAAAAAACUUCCUGAAAUCAUAUUGAAACUAUCCCAUUGGUUAUUGACUCGUUAAUUAUUUCAAAUGACUUUUUUUUUAAGGAAUUAUGCCAAAAGCCAAAUGACUAUUGAAAGUUUUUUUUGACAAAAAAAUUACUAUUGAAAGUUGUCUAAUGUAUACUCCUAAAAUUUUGCGACUCCGAUUCCGAGAUAUAUAGUCAUACCCUUUCAUUUUUAUAUUCAACAUUUAAUUCAUUUAUACUUGAAAAAUACUCGCAUUUGAAAAUAACAAUUUGCUACGUUAUUUAUUAACAAUUAACAAUUGUCCUACAAAUUAAUGAAGAGUUUAACAAACAACUUGAUUUUGUUUGCAUAUAAGUAAAAGAGAAAGAAUGGAAUAUUUUUCGUCAUUUUCCUUCAAAAGCAGUGAAAGAAAUGUGUGAGUGGGAUCAACUCAUCCACGUCCAUCAUGCAAGGGAAACCGCACAAGUAAACUGUUUGAGAAAAAUACCAAAAAUACUUUAUUCCUUGUGGCUAUGUACUAUACUAUUUUUUUUUAAGGCUUAAUAAGAGUUUUAACCUCUUAACUCUUCCAAAGUUGCAAUUUUGGUCUCCUAAGAAAAAAAUUAUUAAACCGUCCACAAAGUUUUACAUAUAUGGCAGUUUUCGUCCCCAAUGCCAAUUUUGACUCGGUCUACGCUGACGUGGCACCCUAAGUGAGGUGCCACGUAUUUUUUUUAUUUAUUUUUUACCAAAAUUUGGCUUUGAGGGGGCCAAAACUGCUACAGUUGCAAAAUUUAAAUGAUGGUUUUGUAGAUUUUUUUAAGGAGCUAAAAUCGCAACUUCAUAAAAGUUAGGGGGCAAAAAGGAUGUACUAUACUAUAUAGUGUUUGUGUUUAUUGCUUAUGUACCAUAGAAAUAUACAUCAUUAAAAUUCUUAAAAGACCAUUUUAUUGUCCAAGUUGUACAACCCAAUUCAAGGAUAACUAGUUGAUUUUGUUGUAGCACCACUUGUGCUGUUUCAUUUUUUGGUGUUGAAAGUGCUUUGUUGGCAUUGAUUUAUGUGGUAAUCAUGGGAAAUCUAGUAGGGUUUCAGGAAGGAAUCUAUUGAGUGUUAUCCUAUGUGAUUCGUGGAUCAAAGUCUGAUUGCAAUUGUAUGGCCCUCAAUAGAUCACUGGACUUACUAAGGUGUGUUGUGUGCAAUUUCAUAGUCUCUUUUACAUCGAUCUAUAAAGUAAAGAUAUGGACACGGACAUCGAACACGACACAGAUACUAACAUGUCGACACCGCUAAUAUAAGUUGAGAAAAUCACCUAAUUCCUUGUAAUUAUAUGUAUCAAUGUCGUGUCGGUAUCAGACACAACACGUGUCCGACAUCAGGACACGUUUUACCCAAAGAGUGUCCGUGCUUUAUUGGCGGUGAUUGAAUCCUUUAAUGGAUUAGGGUUAAGCUUAUUUCGAACCAUUAUAUUUUUAUAUUAGGUCAAACUCAUACUUACAAAUCGGUUUAUAAAGUGAAAACUGCACCCACUUAUAAACACGAGUAGAUUUAGACCUCACAAAGUUGAACCGGCUUAUUCUAUCUUUAUCCACACCCCAGCAUAUCAAAUGUCAUCGUAGUUGUAUGCCAUUUAAGCGCAAUUCUGUGACAAUGUGUUUUUUUAUUAGAAAUUUUGUUGUGUUUUAAUCUUUUGAUGAAUUUUUUUUGUUUUAUUUACUAUUCAUUUUGUCCCAACCAUCAUCUUCUUGAUUGUGAUUUAUCAAGAGUUAUCAUAAUCUAAAACAACAACAUCACCAUCUUCAGUUGACUAUAACACAUUACAAAUAUAUAUUUCCACGGCUACAAGAAAGGAAAAGUACCUUACGUUUCCAUUUUUUUUAUAUUCUCCCAAUAUAUAUAUUAUGAAUUUGGGAAGUUUUCAUUUUCAAUUUGGUUUGAAAAAUGUGGUUGGUGACAACUGUUGUACUAAACAAGUGAAAUCUAUUUGUCAUCGUUGAAUGAGAGAAUUUUUUUUUUUUUGUGAAAUAUGAAAAACCUUUGUGUUCCAAUUAAACAAAAAUUGCAGCUUAAUCUUGGUUGUCAUGAUAGGGAUACAUACAGAAAAGGAACCAUACUAAUCCUUUGACUUUCAUAGUUGGUGUUGUACUUUUCUUUUUGUUGUUGUAAUAAAAGUGUUGUACUUUCAAAUUUAGAUAACAUUUCAAUCACCUAAUAAAUUUGGUUAACAACAAAGACAACACAGUCUAAAUUUAUAUGGGCUGAAAUAAUUUAAUUGGAUAUGUAUGAAUUUCAAUUAAUUAGGAAAAUAUGUUGAGUAGUGUGUUUAUACUAAUACACACUUUGUCCCAAAUUUAGCGGCAAAAAUGGCGAAAUUGUUAGAAUAGAUGUUGUGAAUGUGGUUCAAAUCCUGACUCAACUAUUUGUAUACAUGAGUUUUCGAUGGCUAAUGCUCUUCGUCUAUCUAGCAUACAACACUUAGAUUUUUUUUUCCUGAAGUUGUUGUAAGGUGUGGAAUAUCCCCCCGACUUUGACAAUGAUUAAUCUACUUCAAAAACCCUGACUAGUCAAUUUUAUCGAGAUUUCCCAUUCCAUUCCAAUUUUUUUGUCAACAAGACUAGUGUCAGAUAGUUAUCUAAAUGAUUUGAGUCGAGUUUCACUCGAAUAAAAUGUUGGUUGUCAACUUAUAUUUUUGUAGACAUAUUGAAAAGAAAAAAAAAAAAAACUCUUUUUUUCUAAGCAAACUUAUUAAUUAGAUUAUAAGAGGUAUUCAAAAUAAACUCAUUAUAUAGAGAUAUGGUUACAUUAUUUAAAUACAUGAUAAUGGACUAUGAAACCAAUCAGAAAAAGUGAGCUUUUUGUCUCUAUUGGAUGUUAAUAAACUACUCGUGAUAAUCUUUUGAUACUAUCAAUCACCUUCGUAACGACCUAUCCGUUAAAUAAAAUAAUGUUUCUCUCCAAUCAAAUGCAUCAACAUGUUGAUAAUCAAAAUAAAUGUGAUGCCUUAUACACUUUCUACUCCAAAAAUGCCUUAUUCUCUCUUUUUGAAUGAUACCAUAAUUUCACAAUUUUGAUCUCAACCCAUAAUUUUUAUCCAAAAAUGGUUAUUUUUAGUUAUAAAAGUGGCAUGUUCUUUUCAAAUUUAUAAUUGAGCAAUAAAUCGCCAUUUGUGUGCUAAAAAUACUAUUUAUGAGGUAGAAAUAUAGGUGUGAAUUAAAAUCACAACAUAUAUGAUAUUUAAGAGAUCAAAAAGUUUAACAAAAGCUUAGACAUUUUUGCUUAAGCCAACUUUUUUUUGACAAAAGCUUGAGCCAACUUGUUCACUUUUGUUUCCUUUUAACACACUCAAUAUUGAAAAAGACCAACUAAGAGCUUAUUAUCACUAAAUUAAAUCUUUUCAUUUUUUUUCUUUCAAAUUCGAUUUAUUUCUCGUCUGCCUUUCUUGGUUUGGUGAGAGUUGAGAAUAUUUGUUACCUAUUCUUUUGUCUUGUAAACAACUUUUAUUUUCUUACUUGUUUCCUUUUUCUUAUUCCUAUUUAUGCUUUUUUCUAAAAAAAAUUAGGUGUUAUGUGUUAAUUGUUAAGCCUCUUAUUUUCGUGGGAAAGAAACCCUAAUAAUCUAGAGUUCGAUUGAAUGUAUGUAAAGAAUUAUCAAAGAUUGUUUCAUCUGCAAAUCAACACACAUAUUCUUUUGAACAAUUCGUCUAUGAUAAAACCAUUAUUUUAGAAAAAUAAUGUUUGAUGAAAUUUAUUAACCCCUUAAAUUUAAUACUUUAUUAUUUUUCUCAUUUUUUUUCAUUCAUGAACUGCCUUUGCAAUUUAUUGGUCCCAAAGUUUAUGAAGGGCAUUAAAAAUUUAGGCAAAAAUAGCUAGGUUACUCCUUUAUGUCAAUGUAGUUUAUUAGUAAAUUAGGCAAAAUAUUAUGAUUUUUUUUUCUCAAUCUUUUUCAUUCAUAGACUCCCUUUUCAGAUAUAUGGGUGCCAAAUUUUAUGAUGGGCAUUAAAAAUUUAGGCAAAAAUUACUAGGUCACUCUUUUAUGUCAAUUUAGGUUAUUAGGUACCACUCCUAUUUUAUAAUUUUUUUUCUCGAUCUUUUUGCAUUCAUAGGCUCACGGUUAUUAGGUACCACUCCUAUUUUUUUAUUUUUUUCUACUAAUACCUCAAAUUCGUCCUUGAAUUUUAAAAAAUCGGUCAAAUUCGUCACUGAAUUUUAUGAAAUAUCUAUUAACUCCCUGAAUUUUACAGACGGCCACCAAAAUGGUCCCUCCGUCCAAAAGCUCCGGUAGUGGUGAUGACGUGUCCUCUUGCAUGUUGUGUUGUCAUGUACACGUGUCAACAAGGCAGCCACGUGUACAAGGACUAAUUUGAUGGAAAUGGUAAAAAUUCGAGAUUUAACUUUUCAGUGUAAUUUUUCCUGUGUUCCAAUUAUACCUCGCUAUUACAUAAGGAUCGAUUUGAGACUUACUGGCAUAAUUUGAGGACUAAUUUGAUGGAUUUUGUUAUAAUUUAAGGACUGAUAUGAUUGAUUUAUUUCCAGAGAAUGAGUACAAGGAGAUAUGGCAUGAGAGGACCUGUGAUUUUAAAUGACAUGCAUAAACAAACAUCACUGAGGGAUCCUGCUCCACAAAAACCAACCGCUCCUAGAGUUAUUAGAGUUCCAAAUUCAAAUUACGGGUCAUCCGCUUCUACUCAACCCCAAUACAUGGAGUUUAUCCCAACUCUAGGAUUUCCAAAGCAUUGAUGUUUGUUUGAAUUAUGCUUUUUGGAGUUGUUUAGUGUAUGCUUUUUUGGAUUUGUAAUCACUUAAGAACAUCAAAUGAUUUGAUGACUUGAUGGCUAUGUAAUGAUAUUUGUUUGGCUAUGUAAUGACUUAUGAACAUCAAAUAUAUGACUAAUGAUGGUAUGCAAAUGUCUGUCUUUUUAUAAUCAAAGUGUUUGUCUUUUACUUUUUACUUUGUUCAGCAAAUGUAUGCACCAAGGAUCACAGUGAUAUCUGUUGUGAAAAUUCAAGGACCUGUUUGAUGGUAUUUUUACUAAUUUGAGGAUCGAUAUGCAUAUAAUUCAAGGACCAAUUUGAUUGAAACUUUUUGACAUAAGGGUUUGAUUCAUUCAUUGACCACCUCUUUUCAUUACAACAUUACAACAUUACAUGAACUUGGCACAAUAGAAUAGCAUUUUAAACAACUCAAUCAAACAAAAUACUUCUAUCAAUAUCGUAAUCAACCUAAGCUGACUUCCUACACAAUCAACCUUGCCCUCCAAACCUCUUCUCUGCCCCUAUCAUUUGGCUUCUCCAUCAACCUUGCAUUUCUUCUAUGACCAGCACCAUUGUUUUUAAAAUAACCUAGUUCUUCAGCUUCAUCAACUCACACAAAAAAUUUACAAUUUUCACCAUCAUCAUAUACAAUCAAAAGACAAAAUAAGUACUAUUUAAACAAACCAUUCACACAUCACAUAACCUUUGUUAAACAAACCUUUGGCAGAGGGCAGACAUAGAAAGGCUUUCUUGGGUUAUUGAUAGUGUUGGCUUUUCUUACAACACAAAUUCUAUGACACCAACAUUGAAGCUCUCUCACCUCAUCAUUGUACAUAGAGCUUGAAGAUGAACACCGACUGUUGUAGUUGUUUUUGCCCAUACGCCCACCGCCCUUCAUUUCUGAACACCGAAUCUUCAACAAUGACCACUGGUUUUUGAAUUUUGAAUUGAAUCAAAAAAAUUAGGGUCUUAAAUUUUUUGAAUUGGGGAAGAACAUUGACAUCAAUUCAUGGAAGAAAUUUGGGAGAUUUUGAACUCUAGGUAACAAAUUAUAACAUUAGGGUUCCAAAUUUAUAUAUUUGGGGAAGAAAGAGCCGUUAAUGAGGAAGAGGAGAAAGAGCCGUUAAUGAUAAAGAGGAGAAAGAGUCGUUGGCAAUUUUCUGAAAAUCCAUCAAUUUGGUCCUUGGCAACAUUGGCAAUUUUCUGAAAUUCCAUCAAUUUGGUCCUUGGCAAUUUUCUGUAAAUCAAUCAAUUUGGUCUCUGCUUGCGUGACAUCUGACGUGGUAAGCCUUGUAAGAGGUUAACGUUACACGUCAUCCGUUAACAGACCAACUUAACGGAGGGACUGAUUUGAAUGACAUUUUGUAAAUUCAGGGACUAAAUUGCUAUUUUUCAAAAUUCAGGGACGAAUUUGACCGAUUUUUUAAAAUUCAAGGACGAAUUUGAUGUAUUAGUCUUUUUUUUUUCUCGAUCUUUUUUCAUUCAUAGACUCACUUUUAAGAUUUAUAGGUCGUAAAUUUUAUGAUGGGCUGUGAAAAAUUUAGGGAAACUGACUAGGUUACACUUUUAUGUCAAUUUAUAUGGCUAAUGUUUUGGAGAAAAGAAAGAACUUGUGAAAAUUUAUAGUCACUUUACAAUGUUAUUGAAAGAUUUAUGUUGUUUUCUUACUAUACUUUUUUUUAAGCAAAAGAUAAGGCAGAGGGGUCUUCUACUGCCACACCCAAAAGAUAAAUAUAAAAAGAAAAUAAAGUACAAAAAGAGGGGGGCAUAAACCAAAACCCUCGGAGAAACAAAAAAUGAUAGAAAGAAAAAUUAGAGCUUCAAUUGAAAACCUUUAUAAGUACUUACCUUGAGCCUUGUAGUGUAAGUUCCUUUGCUAGCUUCUACCUGCUGCUUUUGAUGCUUCUUCUUUUUCUUUGAGACAACCAAUUGAAAUUGUUGAUUAGAGACAUCAACUUCAGCCAUAUUAUCCUAGGAUUGUCUAAGAAAACACAUAUCUCUUUGAACUACAGCAGGAAUAGGUGGAGCAACUAGAGCAAGUUGCCUCCUAUCAUAUCCAAAAUCUUGCUCAAGACCAGUGGUGGUGGAAUCUUGAUAGUAAUCUAUAUCGGUCACAACAUCACACCAAGGACCAAUUAUACACAUAUCCGGAAAGUGUUCGUCCCUGUUAUGUUCCUCGGCCAUCUGAGAAUCAUGAGAUAAAGAGUCUCCCACUUGUACAACCUGCAUAGGAAGAGUUCCAAUAACAGUUUCUUCCACAAGAUUGAUGACAUCUACCACUUGAAUAAUAUCUCCCAUCUCUUUAGACCUUAUCAUAUCCCUUAGAAGAGGGUCCUCAUCUACAACCUUUUUACUACAACUUGUUGAUUGCAUAGAAAUAGGCAAUCGUUGCAAAUCUGGUUGAGACACAGUUUGUGCAACCUCAUUCUGACUAGUAUGCUGAGGAUCAUUAGAAGAUGA
rnacentral:lncRNA from 1 species